GGAGAGAUGCGAGAGUGGUUGAAUCGGGCGGCCUCGAAAGCCGUUGAGCUGCUUGUCAGCUCCGAGGGUUCGAAUCCCUCUCUCUCCG
rnacentral:tRNA from 1 species